AAUACAUGUUCAUAUAUAUACUAUAUUGAGUCUCUGUAGAUUAUCAGCUUUGCAGCCGCUUUAAAAUUGCAGCAUCUGCUGCAGAUUGUCGCAUUCGCGUUCGCAACAUGAUCUGCUGCUAUAACACCAUCAAGUACACCGGACUCUUGUCCAAUCUGCUUUAUAUGCUACUGGCCAUAGGUGUGCUGGUCGCAGCUGGCCUGGGCCUGCAAAUGGCACAGCCAAACACGCCGGAGCAUACAUACUUUGUGGAGAGUCUCGUGCUGGGCGCCACCAUCUGCACCAUAGUCAUAUUCGGCUGCUAUGGCCUGGUCUGCGAUCUGCUAAGCGUGAAUUUAAUUUUCACCUGCUUCAUACUGAUCGUGCUGGGCGUAGAGUAUCUGCAGCUGCACAACUACCAGCCGCAUAGUCGCUAUAGCGGCGCCUGGCAGCAGCUGGAGCUGACGCUGGCCUGGCAUGGCCUGGAUAAGCAGCCGGAGCUGAUGCAACAGUAUGAGCAGCAGCAGCAAUGCUGCGGUUACAACGGCGCCAACGACUACAAGUCUUUGCAUUUGCCCAUACCGAAAAGCUGUUAUCAGCUUGCUGCUGCCGACGACAAGCUCUUUACACGCGGCUGCCAGGCGACAUUGAACCACAACCAAAACCACAUACAGCAGCGCGAUAAGCUAUUCAUGUGGUGCAUCAUUGGCCUUGAGAUCUUUAUACUCGUCCAGACCAUCGCGCUCAGCGGUCUGCUCUACAAGCUGCGUCAACGCGAGCGACGGGCACGACAACAGGUGCCGCCAGGUGUGCGCCGUGAGCCGCGAGCCAAUCAUGUGGGCUCGCGAGCCCAGCUGCUGGACAAUAUUUGAAUAGCAUCUCUAUGGAUCAUAGCAGCAGCCCAUAUAUCUAUCCACUUAGCCGCUUAUACUAGAUAUGCCAUGGCUAUAAGUAGUUUGGAAAAUGUACAACACCAACAACAACAACAACAACAACUAUUCAAAUAGGAAGAGAUUUAUAGCAUUUAAACGGAUUAUAUUAACUGACUGUUUUAUAUAAAUAUGCGAUUCCGAUUGGAUGUUGGAAUAAAGAACUUCGCACAGCUAAAAAGUCCUUCAGUGGAGUCUUCUAAUUACAAAAAUGGACACCCACCUCGAAGGCCACCAGCACCCAGGAGACAAUGAUGAAGCGCCGCUUGUCGCUCUCGUAAUGGCUCUGCAGCUUCUCGAUGCAGCCCUCGACAAACAGGUGCUCCGGCUUCUGCUGUAGAUCGGCAUAACAGCUGGGCGGUAUCGAUUGCCGUAGAUGGACAUAGUCCUGGGCGCUGGUCUUGCCGCAGCACUCGUACUUCUGCUGCAGUCCGUCCAUGUUGUUCGCCUGCCAGGCCAGCUCCACGGUUUGCUGGGCGCUCUGCACCUCGAACUGAUGCAAGAACAUGCAGGUGCUCACAAUUUGCGGUAUGGCCAGCACCAGCAGAAACACAGCACUCUAAAGGAAGAUAGUAUUGUACAGUAAUUACUCGCUAUAAAUGCAACAGCUGCACAGUUGAACCCUACCGUUGCGGUCAAACAGACCGAUUCGCGUAUGGCCGCAAAUAUGCCCAGAAAGGCGAACAGCACAAUUAUCGCGCAGGCCACAUAGGCGGCGAUAACAAACUCCUCGCUCUCCGUAUCCGAAUUGACGGCUAUCCAACCGAUUGCACCCACUGCGAGGAGCUGUAAGAUUAACGCAACAUAUCAAACUGGAAAUUCUCCGGCCGAGAACUGUGAGCGCAGACGGUCGCGUACGAACUACAACUGAAACUGAAACUGAAACCGAGACCCGAAGCUGGCGAGCAAAGAGCACAAAACGGCACAGUGGCACGCGGAGCACCACCACGGAGCACCACUGAGCACCACAGUGCAAACAAAAAGACGGUAAACAAACAUGAAAAGCAAAAAUAAAAAAGCCAAAAUCAAA